ACCAUCUUCCCCCUUUCCCCUCUCUCGGUAGAACCUCCGGCGACCGGCGAUUGGAUUCUGGUGCCCUCCUCCCGUCCGGCACACACACUGAAAUCCAUUCCAUCUUAAAACCACCUUUCUUCGUACCAGCAUAUUCAUACUCUCCUCUCUCUCACCUGAAAUUAUAGUCGACCACCACCAUGGACGGUGGCGGCGGCGACGCUGGAUAACAAACACAACGGGGUCUGUCAGCAACGGCGUGGUUGUUCGAUGCAGUAGUGGUGGUCGUGGUUCGAUCCCGGGGACGUGACAUCAGCAGAGAAGCUCACCGGCGACGGCGAACCGCCGGAGCUCCGAUUCGGAGCAGGGCAAUGGCAGCGUACGUCCACCAGUUCUGUAGUCAUCGGAAGUGGUUGACCAACUUUGGACAAAAGCUUUAUCUACCGAGCAAAGAAAAGGCCUUUAGGUGCAUAACAAUGGAACUUGCUGUCUGAGAAGCUGGAGUGGUCAUGGGUCGAGAUACAUGGAAUCGCUACACAAGAUUAAUGGGUUAUAGACACUUAACGAGUUAAAUAUGCUUCCGCUGUAAACUGUGAAAUAUUGUAACGUUGUAACACUAUUGUUAAUAAAGGAAAGUUUUAUUUUCAUA